UUAAGUGGUAUGUGACUCUUAUUUGGUGCUUCUUUGCUUCUAGCCUUUUGUAUAUUACAUCACUUUCAGUUCUAUUUUAUGGGAUUGUAUGCAAUGAGACUAAUUACCUUUGACAUAAGGAGCUAACAAAUACUUAUAACCAUCUGAUGUGAAAUUUGAUAGGUUGGAUGUGUUACAAAGAUGAUAAAAUUUCUGUUGAAGUUUGAAUUUGGUCAGUAGAAUAAAUGAAACCAUCCAAUUUUACGUCUAAUGGUCAAGAUUAAUUGUGACUACCUUGUUGCAAAAGUAAAUGAUCUCAUUGUAUAUUUUUCCAUGUUUUAUUUAGUUUUUUCCUUUUUC
rnacentral:lncRNA from 1 species